rnacentral:rRNA from 1 species
AGAGUUUGAUCAUGGCUCAGGAUGAACGCUAGCUACAGGCUUAACACAUGCAAGUCGAGGGGCAGCAUGUUGGUUGCUUGCAACCAAUGAUGGCGACCGGCGCACGGGUGAGUAACGCGUAUCCAACCUACCCUUGUCCAUCGGAUAACCCGUCGAAAGGCGGCCUAACACGAUAUGCGGUUCUCAGCAGGCAUCUAACGAGAACGAAAUGUGAAGGAGAAGGAUGGGGGAUGCGUCUGAUUAGCUUGGUUGGCGGGGUAACGGCCACCAAGGCGACGAUCGAGUAGGGGUUCUGAGAGGAAGGUCCCCCCANACUUGGAACUGAGACACGGUCCAAACUCCGUACGGGAGGCCA